GAGGAAAAGAAACUAACAAGGAUUCCCCUAGUAACUGCGAGUGAAGCGGGAACAGCUCAAAUUUUGAAUCUGGCAGUCUUUGGCUGUCCGAGUUGUAAUCUAGAGAAGCGUUUUUCCGCGCUGGUCCAUGUACAAGUCUCCUGGAAAGGAGCAUCAUAGAGGGUGAGAAUCCCGUCUUUGACAUGGACUACCAGUGCUAUGUGAUGCGCUCUCAACGAGUCGAGUUGUUUGGGAAUGCAGCUCAAAAUGGGUGGUAAAUUCCAUCUAAAGCUAAAUACAGGCGAGAGACCGAUAGCGAACAAGUACCGUGAGGGAAAGAUGAAAAGAACUUUGGAAAGAGAGUUAAACAGUACGUGAAAUUGCUGAAAGGGAAACGCUUGAUGUCAGUCACAUCUGCCAGGGAUCAACCUUGCUUGUUUUGCUGGGUGCAUUUCUUGGUCGAUGGGUCAGCAUCAGUUUCGCUCGCUGUACAAUAGUGAAGGAAAUGUGGUACUCUAUGGAGUAUGUUAUAGCCUUUCAUCAUAUGCAGUGAUUGGGACUGAGGAACUCGGCACGACUUUGCUCUGUGUCUAGGAUGCUGGCAUAAUGGCCUUAAGCGACCCGUCUUGAAACACGGACCAAGGAGUCUAACAUGCCUGCGAGUGUUUGGGUGCCAACCCAGGUGCGUAAUGAAAGUGAAAGUCGAGACCUCUGUCAUGGA
rnacentral:rRNA from 1 species